rnacentral:rRNA from 1 species
UACGGGGGGGGCAAGCGUUGUUCGGAAUUACUGGGCGUAAAGGGCGCGUAGGCGGCCUGCUAAGUCGGAUGUGAAAUCCCUCGGCUCAACCGAGGAACUGCAUCCGAUACUGGCGGGCUUGAAUCCGGGAGAGGGAUGUGGAAUUCCAGGUGUAGCGGUGAAAUGCGUAGAUAUCUGGAGGAACACCGGUGGCGAAGGCGGCUCACUGGCCCGGUACUGACGCUGAGGCGCGAAAGCGUGGGGAGCAAACAGG